UACGGAGGGUGCAAGCGUUAAUCGGAUUUAUUGGGCGUAAAGGGCGCGUAGGCGGAUUAGUAAGUCGGAUGUGAAAUCCCGAGGCUCAACCUCGGAACUGCAUUUGAAACUACUUAUCUUGAGGGUAGAAGGAGAAAACGGAAUUCCACAAGUAGCGGUGAAAUGCGUAGAUAUGUGGAAGAACACCAGUGGCGAAGGCGGUUUUCUAUUUUAUUCCUGACGCUGAGGCGCGAAAGCUAGGGGAGCAAAC
rnacentral:rRNA from 1 species